rnacentral:rRNA from 1 species
AUUGAACGCUGGCGGCAGGCUUAACACAUGCAAGUCGAACGAUGACUCUCUAGCUUGCUAAAAAAGAUUAGUGGCGGACGGGUGAGUAACAUUUAGGAAUCUGCCUAGUAGUGGGGGAUAGCUCGGGGAAACUCGAAUUAAUACCGCAUACCACCUACGGGUGAAGGGGGGCGCAAGCUCUUGCUAUUAGAUGAGCCUAAAUCAUAUUAGCUAGUUGGUGGGGUAAAGGCCCACCAAGGCGACUAUCUGUAACUGGUCUGAGAGGAUGAUCAGUCACACCGGAACUGAGACACGGUCCGGACUCCUACGGGAGGCAGCAGUGGGGAAUAUUGGACAAUGGGGGCAACCCUGAUCCAGCCAUGCCGCGUGUGUGAAGAAGGCCUUUUGGUUGUAAAGCACUUUAAGCAGGGAGGAGAGGCUAAUGGUUAAUACCCAUUAGAUUAGACGUUACCUGCAAAAUAAGCACCGGCUAACUCUGUGCCAGCAGCCGCGGUAAUACAGAGGGUGCGAGCGUUAAUCGGAAUUACUGGGCGUAAAGCGAGUGUAGGUGGCUCAUUAAGUCACAUGUGAAAUCCCCGGGCUUAACCUGAGAACUGCAUGUGAUACUGGUGGUGCUAGA